GACGAACGCUGGCGGCGUGCUUAACACAUGCAAGUCGAACGGAAAGGCCCUGCUUUUGUGGGGUGCUCGAGUGGCGAACGGGUGAGUAACACGUGAGUAACCUGCCCUUGACUUUGGGAUAACUUCAGGAAACUGGGGCUAAUACCGGAUAGGAGCUCCUGCUGCAUGGUGGGGGUUGGAAAGUUUCGGCGGUUGGGGAUGGACUCGCGGCUUAUCAGCUUGUUGGUGGGGUAGUGGCUUACCAAGGCUUUGAAGGGUAGCCGGCCUGAGAGGGUGACCGGCCACCUUGGGACUGCGAUACGGCCCAGACUCCUACGGGAGGCAGCAGUGGGGAAUAUUGCACAAUGGGCGGAAGCCUGAUGCAGCAGCGCCGCGUGCGGGAUGACGGCCUUCGGGUUGUAAACCGCUUUCGCCUGUGACGAAGCGUGAGUGACGGUAAUGGGUAAAGAAGCACCGGCUAACUACGUG
rnacentral:rRNA from 1 species